rnacentral:tRNA from 1 species
CAUGGUGUAGCUUAAACAUGCAAAGCAUCUGGCCUACACCCAGAAGAUUUCACAACUAAUGAACGCCAUGA